UACGUAGGGUGCGAGCGUUGUCCGGAAUUAUUGGGCGUAAAGAGCUCGUAGGCGGUGUGUCACGUCGGCCCGUGAAAACCUGCAGCUUAACUGUGGGCGUGCGGUCGAUACGGGCAUCACUGGAGUUCGGCAGGGGAGACUGGAAUUCCUGGUGUAGCGGUGAAAUGCGCAGAUAUCAGGAGGAACACCGGUGGCGAAGGCGGGGUCUCUGGGCCGAUACUGACGCUGAGGAGCGAAAGCGUGGGGAGCAAACAGG
rnacentral:rRNA from 1 species